rnacentral:rRNA from 1 species
GAGGAAAGCGGCGGACGGGUGAGUAACGCAUAGGCAACCUGCCCUUAGCAGAGAGAUAGCCAUUGGAAACGAUGAUUAAAACCUCAUAAUGCUGUUGAAACACAUGUUUCGGCAGCCAAAGAUUUAUCGGCUAAGGAUGGGCCUGCGUCUGAUUAACUAAGUUGGUGAGGUAACGGCUCACCCAAGGUGACGAUCAGUAGCCGACCUGAGAGGGUGAUCGGCCACAUUGGAACUGAGACACGGUCCAAACUUCUACGGAAGGCAGCAGUAAGGAAUCUUGCACAAUGGGGGAAACCCUGAAUGCAGCAACGCCGCGUGAACGAUGAAGGCCUUAGGGUUGUAAAGUUCUGAUCUGUGGGAAGAAGAAGUGACGGUACCACAGGAGAAAGCCCCGGCUAAAUACGUGCCAGCCGCCGC